rnacentral:rRNA from 1 species
GACGUAGGGGGCCAGCGUUGUUCGGAAUUACUGGGCGUAAAGGGCUCGUAGGCGGCCAACUAAGUCAUACGUGAAAUCCCUCGGCUUAACCGGGGAACUGCGUCUGAUACUGGAUGGCUUGAGUUCGGGAGAGGGAUGCGGAAUUCCAGGUGUAGCGGUGAAAUGCGUAGAUAUCUGGAGGAACACCGGUGGCGAAGGCGGCAUCCUGGACCAACACUGACGCUGAUGAGCGAAAGCCAGGGGAGCAAACGGG